rnacentral:tRNA from 1 species
UAGGGGUAUGGCUCAAUUGGUAGAGUAGUGGUCUCCAAAACCAUUGGUUGUGGGUUCAAGUCCUACUGCCCCUGCCAG